CGAGCCGUCACCUGCCAGUUAUUGGCCACAGCUGACUCCAUUAUGGCUUGGAGGAUGGCGAAACCUGAGGGAUUAGAGGAGGAACACAGCUCACUGCCCAAUGUGAUGAAUCAGUGCAUGAGACAUAUGAAAGGAAGAAGCUGAGCAGACGGUAACCUGGCUGAGCGGUGACACUGAAAGAAAGCACCGCUGAGGGACUUCCAAAAGUCCUGUUUACUCAUGAGGUUCAGGAUUUACUGUCAGCUACUGACAGACAGCAUCCAAAUCAGCUUUGAACAGGCACCUAUGUCUGUAUAUUAGGCAAGAAUGGGCUUCUAAUAUGACUAUAGGGCACAAAUCUAUUAUUCUCACUGCUCUAUCAUGAUAUGCUUCUGUUAAAAUGUCUUUUCUCAGCAAGAGUUCCAUGUUUUGAGCAGCUCCUCUGCUGUAGUCACAGGAACAUGUAUGGGUUUCAGCGAGUUCUUUUAAAAAGCAGUUAGUGCUAUUGAACAGUGUUCAUUAAUAAAACUGUUAAAACAAGCACAUCGCUUUAACAUAAAAAAACAGUUCAAAAUGAAAAGAUGAUUUACAGCUUGCAAGCUUUAAAUUCAGGAAUAAUCCUAAAUUCUGUCAAUUCCACUGCUAAUAAUAAGACCAGUAUACUGCAAUAUUUGAAUAAAAAAAGUAUCCUUUUGUGAUCUCAUUCCUUUUAAAUACCAGUUUACUUCUAUUAAAAAUAUAUGAAAAAUGGCUUUUCUCAG